rnacentral:rRNA from 1 species
CCUACGGGUGGCAGCAGUGGGGGAUAUUGCACAAUGGGGGAAACCCUGAUGCAGCGACGCCGCGUGUGGGAAGACGGUCCUCUGGAUUGUAAACCACUGUCCCCAGGGACGAAGAUGACGGUACCUGGGGAGGAAGCUCCGGCUAACUACGUGCCAGCAGCCGCGGUAAUACGAAGGGAGCGAGAGUUGUCCGGAAUUACGGGGUGAAAAGGGAGCGUAGGCGGGGAUGCAAGUUGGGUGGCAAAACUACCGGCUCAACUGGUAGUGGCACACAAAACUGCAGCUCUUGAGUGAAGUAGAGGCAGGCGGAAUUCCUGGUGUAGCAGUGAAAUGCGUAGAUAGUAGGAGGAACACCAGUGGCGAAGGCGGCCUGCUGGGCUUUUACUGACGCUGAGGCUCGAAAGUGUGGGGAGCAAACAGGAUUAGAUACCCCAGUAGUC